rnacentral:SRP_RNA from 1 species
GCCGGGCAUGGUGGCUCAUGUCUGUAAUCCCAGCACUUUAGGAGGCAGAGGUGGGUGGAUUACCUGAGGUCAGGAGUUCUAGACCAGCCUGGCCAACAUGGUGAAAUCCCAUCUCUA